CUUGCAAGUGUGACAUAGAGGAAGACAAGCAGAGAAAACCAGAGAGAGAGAGAGACUACAUGUGUGUAAAUGAAGCUGUUCAUCAACAUGGAAACGUACCUCUAACAAACUCUGACUGUGGCAGCAUCUGUAAAUGGCAACUUCACUCGCAGAGAUGGAGGUGUUGACCAUCAUGUUCUCUCUUCUGGUUUUUGCCCUCUUCACACUCACUGGGAUGCUUCAGGAGGACCUUGAACAUUCAAAUGAGACGAAGACAGCAGCUCAGAGUUUGGAGCAGAUCGUCUGAUACAGAUGAAGUUUAUGACUAAGAGUGAAAAACUUCAGAGAACGACGGCUGCCUUGUUCUUCCUGUUCUGUGGCUGAUGAGGACGUGGCAGCAGGAGCCUCGUAUUAAAGUGUGAUUGGUUUCCAGUGCAAAGUCUAAACAGUGACCUCUGAACAGGUGUGUGUGUACUUAGUUAUAGGAUCCAGUGUUAUUUGCUUCCUGGAUGAAGCAGGAGUGGCUCAGAUGGCACACUGUGAAAAAAUCAAUAAACA